AGCCGAGGGCAUGGCACGUGAGACCAGAUGCUGCUGGUGGACCUGGCUGUCCUGCUCAUGUUCUCUGCCCCCAGGGAGGCUGGGCUGGAGCUGGGUGGCUGCAUGAUGUCCUCGCUCACCUCGGCGUAGGUAUAACAGGUGGUCUGAGUAUCCAGCAGCUGCAUCUUGACCAGUGUCUCCAGAAAGAACUUUGGACAGCUCGGUUGUUUGUGCUAACUCUACGGGGAUUCAAAUUUGAUCUCUUUUUCCUUCUUGUCUCUAGGUACUUUUAGGUUGAAAUAUGCCCCUCCAGCAGAAAGUCUGGACUCCACAGACUGAUCCUUUCCUCUGGCAACAGAACACUAUUAAGCCAUGGAGACAUAAGGAAAUUAUAUACAAGACUGAGAAGUCUAGUUGCUGUUGAGCUUAAUAUUUUUAAUCCAAAGGUGCUUUACUUUACUAGACUGGAUAGAAAACCUAGAGUAGGAGUGCAUCAAACUCAGUUUUAUUGCCAAAAUCCUAGAUUGGAGCUUGACGUCAGGACUCGCCUGGUUGGUGCCUCCGCCGUGCUCGCGAUGCAAAGACCUCCGUCUCCUGAGGAGCGUUGCCGUCCUCGGCCCUUCCAGGCUCGCACGUAAUUCCAGGGCAGCUACGCAAGAUCGGACUCGAGUACUGAGGGCCGGAGUUCCCCGCGUGGAGUCCCGCCAGUCGGACUCUGCUUACCCCUGGGAUUGCACUACAGAAGAAUGUAAACUGAUGCCAGGCUCUGCGGUUUUGGGAGACAGACUCCCUGAGACCAGUCAGUGCAAGACACUCGGAGAAUCUGCGUUAAAGGAGUUGGCACCAGCAGGCCGCGGGACUUGGUACAUGACAAAUGUCAGCGUCUCCUUCCCUCUUAAAACACUUGCAGAAGUUUCAGGUUUUUCUUUUUCUUUUUUUUUUUUUCUGCAAAUAAAUCUAAACUACGUUAUUAAAAAGAAAUAGUUAUUUGCAACAACUUAAUAUCUUAAGGGUCCAAGUCCCAGAGAAUCCCUAGUUGUCAGAGCUUUGAGAAUCCUUCCUUCCCGGCCUGUCAGUAGCGUGGAGUCUGGUCGUCUCCCUCCAGAACGGCGCUCUCGCCGGGACAUGGUAACCGCCCAGCCUUCGUGGGCUGGCUCCGAGGGACGCUACGACACCCUUAGCAAAGUUGGCAAGUUCUUUCAUGUCACACGGAUCUCCCAAGGACCCCAAGGCUGACUGCUAAUGGAUUCACACUGGAGACAGACAUUUCAACAGUGAUACAGUCCUGUAACUUAGGAGCAAAAGAUUUGAAACCUUCUCCUCCUGUCAACUUCUUUUGUACUAGGCUUUGUAUUAAUGGUUAGUUCUGCCACAAGUUACCUGGAAAAUUACGACAGAAAGUGGGAAGACUCUGAAAGAGGCCGCCCCAACAGGACAGAGCCACACCAUCUCCCCAAGUGUGGUUUGAGCCAGCGUGGGCCAGCAGUCCCCCCCCACAGCUCUCGGUUUCACCCCACUGCAAUGAACGUUGCUUGGUCUGAAAUGUAGGGACGCAGAUCUUCAAAGCUAAAGGGAAUUUUCUGCUCAAAUAAUAAUGUUGUUUGAAACACUAAAGCCUUCCAUAUUAAAAUAUUGAUCGGUUAGGCCUUGCCCAGGGAUUUUGCAGUUGAGUAUGUGUUUAAAAAAAAAAAAAAAGAAAAUUGUAAUAUUCUGACCGUUCUUAAAAUGGGACAAUCAGCCUCGUGCUGAAUUGGUGUAAAUCAAAAGAAUACCCUAGAAUUUGAGGCACUGUGAUAUGAGGCUUCAAAUUUUAUGAUCCGUUUCCUGGCUGCAGAGAAUCUAAAGCAGAGUUGUUACAUUUUUUAAUGAAAGGCUUUUAGUAGUUUUUUAGAGUUUUAUUUUAGUAGAGUUUCAUUUCUAUGCAAUGCAGAAUGGACAGACCUCUGUAUGCGUCUCUCUUCCCGGUGCACAGUAUUACGUAGUUUUGAAUCAAUGGUGAUGCUUGUGGCAACUUUUUGGGGGGAAUGUGACAUUGAUCUCUUAAUUGUAAACACUACAAAAUGUCAAAAUAACGAGAACUGACACAACUUUGCCUUAAAGAGUACGAGCCUGGAACUUAUCAUAUGAUGUUAGAGGAAGACUUGGGAGUGUCCACUGAUGUUUACGAUUUUAAUAUUUCUGAAGGCCGUUAUGGUGGCCUGGACAUGUGCUGAAAGCCAAACUUUUAAAUUUUUUGGUUUUUUUUAAAAAAGAAAUAUUUUAAAUAAAUCCUACUUCAACACA